rnacentral:rRNA from 1 species
GUUAAAAAGCUCGUAGUUGGAUUUCUGGGAGGGUGCUAAUGCCCGCCGUAGCGCGCGCGCAGCAGCGCCCUUCCAUCCCUCUGUUAACGCCUCUUGGCAUUCAUUUGCUGGUGGCGGGCUCAGAUAUUUUACCUUGAGAAAAUUAGAGUGUUUCAGGCAGGCUAGGCCGGAAUAUAUUAGCAUGGAAUAAUGGAAUAGGACUAUGGUCUCUUUGUUGGUUUGAGGGACUGCAGUAAUGAUUAAUAGGGAUAGUUGGGGGCAUUAGUAUUUAAUUGUCAGAGGUGGAAUUCUCAGAUUUGUUAAAGACUAACCUAUGCGAAAGCAUUUGCCAAGGAUGUUUUCAUUAAUCA